rnacentral:rRNA from 1 species
GGACGAACGCUGGCGGCGUGCUUAACCCAUGCAAGUCGAACGGAAAGGCCCUGCUUUUGUGGGGUGCUCGAGUGGCGAACGGGUGAGUAGCACGUGAGUAACCUGCCCUUGACUUUGGGAUAACUUCAGGAAACUGGGGCUAAUACCGGAUAGGAGCUCCUGCUGCAUGGUGGGGGUUGGAAAGUUUCGGCGGUUGGGGAUGGACUCGCGGCUUAUCAGCUUGUUGGUGGGGUAGUGGCUUACCAAGGCUUUGACGGGUAGCCGGCCUGAGAGGGUGACCGGCCACAUUGGGACUGAGAUACGGCCCAGACUCCUACGGGAGGCAGCAGUGGGGAAUAUUGCACAAUGGGCGGAAGCCUGAUGCAGCAACGCCGCGUGCGGGAUGACGGCCUUCGGGUUGUAAACCGCUUUCGCCUGUGACGAAGCGUGAGUGACGGUAAUGGGUAAAGAAGCACCGGCUAACUACGUG